AUGUACCGAUUUCCGUUGUCGCAUGCGCAGAAGAACCAAGUCAAGAAACGCGCUUGCAACGAACAAAAGAACAGCCGCCAUACUGCAGAAUAUUGGGAAAAGUGACACGGAAUCAGUCAUAAAUUUGGAAGAAGAUCGCAGUAUUUAUUCUGAGGCACAAUCUCCCACGAGUCCCUGUGAGAUGAGCGAGUUGGAUCUGUUUGAUGGUCUUAUAAAACUCCCUGAUCAAAGUAGUUUUGAAAACGAGAAUACCACCAUGGCUGUGCCUCUUAAAACGUCUCAAGAUAGCGGGUUAUUGAGUUACAUGUCGGAGAAGAAUAUGAAAGUCAUUUCUAUCAUUAAAGGCAACAUAACUGAGAAGCAAUUUAACCCCAGCAUGUCUAGAAAUGCCAUAAAUGCCAGAGAAAAUCGCCAAAAGAAAAAGGAGUAUAUGAAAAAUCUUGAAAAUUCUGUUGAUAAGUUGAAAACAGAAAAUGCAGAACUGAAAAAUGAAUGCAAUUCUCUGACAAAAACGGUCACAGACUUAACAUCUGAAGUUGAAUAUUUGAAAGGUGUUCUUGCAAAUCAGUCAACUUUGGCAACUAUUCUUAACAAACUGUCAGAUAUCCCUGGCCUUGCUUUAUCUACAUCUUUUAAACCCAAAGAAGCAAAUAACAAUGUUGUCCAACCCCAAGGGAAACGUAAAAAGUGUUUGGAAAAUCAAGAAAAUGUUUCAAAAAGUAAUGUAUCGGAAACAAAGAGACGCAAAGUAACAAGGUCAUCCUCCAAACAAAUGGACCCGUCUUCCAGAGAAUGUGAUGAAUCAACAAAAGCAGGUAUACACAACACUAGAUGCAAAUCUGAAUCAAAUGGUGGAAAUUUGUCAACAGACACGAGGGGUGUUUGUCUCCAUGUAUCUGGAUCAUCUGUUUCUGUGGAAUUAUGUGAUUUGUGUUCAAAAAAAUCUCAAAAAGUUCUCAAAAAAGAUCACUGCUAUGGCAAAAAGGGUAGUGACUGAUUCAGAUUGGGUGAAUAUACAUGUGAAGUUCAUUGCAGUUUUGUUGAAACAUAUACUGUCUUACAUAUUGCAUCAAAUUUUGUUAAAGUGUUGUCUGUAUAGACUAAUGUAUGUUGUUGUUUUGGGGUUUUUUUCUCUUCUUUAUCUUAAUUGUUAUGCUUGAGAACAACAAAUCAAAAUUUUUCCUUGUUUUGAAGGGAAAAAAAUCUAAACAAAUUUAUUUACAAUUCCAGCUCUCCAUCCAAUGAAAAGGUUGUUGGAAAGGUUUCGAUCCAAACGGUGGAGUAUAGAUUAAAAUUAAUGUAUGUGUCAUAUUCUUCAUUUUUCAUUACAGGUGUUUUUUCUCUUCUCUUCAACUAUGUAACAAAUUGAUAUAGGUUUUUAUGUCUUGAUAUUUGGGGCAAAAUGUUUAUGUCAAUUGGGUGGUUACAUGUAGAUGGUGUAGUCCUAAGGCCAAUUCAACUUAAUUGAUAGAUUAUCAUCCCCAUCCGCCCCUCAAAAAUCGGCCCACCCAGAAUUUUUUUAUUUUGUGGAACUUUCUAUGUCCGACUCCGGUAUUUACACUUCUUGUUUACAUUUCCAGUAUAACAAUGUGAAAAGCCAUGUGAAGAAAAGAGAUCACAUGGUUUUCUUAAUUUCAUAUGGGCAUAAAUUAAAGAAGAGAUUAAUGUUUUUCAUAUCUUGAGGAAGUUUGGUAUCUUUCUGCAUGUCCUGUGUUUGAAAUUAAAGCUAAACCUGGAAUUCGCCUGUGAAAUAAGCAUAGAUUGAUAUCCAUCUGGCAUUAAAUGAUGCAUUUCUGUUGACAAAAACUCGUUUAAAGAUACAAUCCUCCCACCCGGCCCAUACUUUUUGGUGACCCUGGAUGAUAAUCUAAUUAAGUGAAAUUGGCGUAAUGUUUAAACCAUGUACAGUUUUCAAAACCAUCUGGUCUGGGGUGUAAUCAGACUGAUAUAUUCAAAUCAAAUUGGAAGAAACUUUAUCAAUGAAUGGGAGGGGAACAAAUUGAAAUUAGUUUAAGAGUAAGUGGUAUGAAGUUGAAGAUUUUAAGAAUACAAAGCGGAAUACAGUAAAACACAGUUAUAAUGAACCUCCAGGGCCAUAAAAACAGUUCAUUAUAAACCAAAUUUGUUAUAGCCAAUAAAUUUUUGUUAAUUUCAUCUCUUAGGGGUAUAUCACUUCAUAAAAAGCAUGAAUUUGUUAUUUUAAAAAGUUCAUUAUAAGCAUGUUUUACUGUCCAUUAAAUUGAACAAAAGUGUAGUCCGAAGGACUGGGUUCGACAAUAAUCAAUUAUGGUCAAGAAAUUUUAAUAUGCUUUGAUUUUUCUGACACCCAGAAAUUUUGAAUUUGAAAAUUUUAUUUUUUUCUAAGACAAUUCUUAAUUUCAAGGAAACUGCAUUAAAAAAAAAUCAUUUUUACACUUUCCAGGAAAAUAACCACUGUACAGGAAGUUUUCUGAAUAGAAAUAAUUGGCUGUAUGCAUCAUAAAAAACUUUAAAUAUUAUGUUCACCAAGAUAUAACAAUGAUAACUUCAUUUGAUUGUACUUGAUGCAUGUGGUCUUGACUUUCUGAGGCAAAAAAAUCUUCGAUAAAUAAUAAUUUUUCUUUCUGAAAGAAACUGACAGCAAGAAAUUGACGAUGAUUUCAUACAUAGAUGAUUCAUAAUUUUAAGAAUAUGAUAUUACAUAUCUCGUCUAUUUGAUAAAAUUUAUACUUUUAUAAUAGAGGUUUAUAUUACUGUCCGAAUUUGGGCCAAAUUGGUGUUGAACCUAGUCCUUUGAUUGAAAGUUUGCAUAUCUAAUCUAUGAAUUUAUUUUCUCUUUCAGUUGAUGUUACUAUCUUAAGCCUAAGGUACUGUUGGCUUGAGAAGCGAAUCUCAUGAGAAGCGAUACCAUAUUUUGUCAUGAACAUGUGAAAAUGACUUCAGAAGAGGAGUGGAUGCUAAAAUCCCAGGAGGAUGCAUGCAAACAAUAUUUAUUUAUGUGUAAGUAGACUGAAUAGUGCUGUUUUGGAUUCCGAGACGACACAGACUGAGCAGACUGUAUGUACGAGUUAAAGUUAAAAAGUACAUAUUGCACCUAGAUUACUUUGUUAAGGUGCUGUGCAUAUUCUGUGUGUUAUCUGAUCAGUAAACAAUUUGAAACUUUA